rnacentral:tRNA from 1 species
GGAAGCUCAAUGGUAGAGUGCUUGCCUCGCAUGCAUGAGGCCCUGGGUUCAAUUCCUCAGUACCA